rnacentral:misc_RNA from 1 species
AAAAAGGGUAAGAACCCUUAAAAAAUGGAGGAAAAGUCUCAGAAUUGUUAAUCUCCUUCUGACGCAAACCAAUCAAGACUUCAGGAGAGGGGGACAAAGAAAUGGCCAUGGGAGAGGAGAAGGUGAAAACUGAAGCUAUGCAGAUAAUAGGCUUGUUUCAAAUCUUGCCGAAAUUGGUCGUCUUCGACCUAGAUUACACUCUCUGGCCAUUCUACUGGUAUCCAUUCUCAUCUCCAAGUUUGUAUUUUUUCACGGUGUUAGUUGUAAAGUUGAAUUAUUAGAUACUAGAAAUCUGAUCAUGUAACAUGCUGAAAUCUUCUUAAUCAUCUUUCGGUUUCCUGUUUUUACCUUUCUUUUUGGGUGUUUGUGUUCUGGGUACUUUUUAUCUGGUUCCAAUUGAAGCUAGUUUGGUUUGCUACAGGUCAUGUUGGUUCAAACGUAUCUAAUCCUUGUUGAUUCUGGGUCAUUUGUAGUUGUUCAAUUUAGUAGUGAUCUAAAAUGCUUCAGACCUAAUUGUGUGUAGUGUAGAUAGUGGGUUCAACCUCAUGGAAGAGGAAGAAAAGAAACAAACAGCAAGGUGUUUGAGGGAUAUGAAGUUGUUGUGCUUCUCACUGCUGCUAUUUGGCGUAAAUUAUUUAUUGUUUGUUUCAGUGCGAUGUUCAGUUCUGGAUUUUGAAUUUGAAGGAUUUAUGGAAUGUCGGUUUCUUAAGGUUUGGCUGUUUGAUAUAUGUUGUCAUACACUUAUUUGAUUUUUUUUUUCUUGUAGAUGGAAUGUGCAUGUAUAUGUGUGUGCUUAGGUAUAAACACUAAUAUCAGUACUUUAUAGCAUGAUAACUGUAAUUGCAGAGUCAUGCAUCUUUGCCUCCAAUCAAAACUAUGUAUUAAACUUGAUUUUGUUGCCAUUAGAAUGGUAUUUUGCCCUUCUCUAUAGAUGCCUCUAUGGUUUGAGAUCUAACGUCAAUAUGAAUCUUGUAAUUUCAGUGAAUGCCGCUCAAAACGUGAAAUGCCAUCUUUGUAUCCCGAUGCUAAAGGCAUAUUAUAUGCACUCAAGGACAAGAGAAUAGAUGUAGCAAUUGCUUCACGAUCACCAACCCCAGAUAUUGCAAAAGCAUUUCUUGGAAAAUUGAGCAUCAAAUCAAUGUUUGUAGCCCAGGUGAGUUGUAAACAAAAUCUUUUGUUAAUUUUUAUCUUUAAUCAUAUUGCAUUUUUUUUUCUUUGCUAUUUAUCGCGUAUGAAAUGGCAAAAGCCGGCAAAAAAUUUUAAAACUCUAUCUAGAGCAUGACCAGCAGAGUGAAAGGCUCUGCAGGUCCAAGAACAAAAUGAGAAAGUUGUUGCAGCAGGAGGUUGUAAACUGAUGCAUGCUAAAUUGCUCUCCUACCUCUUGUUUCUUUCAGUAUCUCAGAAAUGUGCGCAUUUUUCUGAUGGCAUCAUGGUAGCAAUAUGAUUUGUAUUUAGGAAUGCUCAUGGAAGCUUUAAAAAGCAAAGUAACAGCACCAUUAAUUAUUGGCUCAAUUUAUUAUGAUCGUUUGAAAUGAGUAGCAUCUAUUUGUUCAAAUUAUAUUCAGAGUAGGUCAAGUUGAUUGGCAACUGAAUUGGCAACUUCCAGAACCAUACAUGCUAUUGCACUUGUGUUUACUUAUCUUCGUGAUCGGCAUGUUUCCCAGGUGAACUAAGCUUAAAGGAAAAUUUACCUUUUUGUGGCUUCCACAGUGACCAACUCAUUUUAAUUAUUCAGGAGAUAUUUUCCAGUUGGACUCACAAGACUGAGCAUUUCCAGAGGAUUCAUUCAAGGACUGGGGUACCCUUUAACUCGAUGCUCUUUUUUGAUGAUGAGGAUAGGAACAUCGAGGCGGUUUCAAAGAUGGGAGUAACAAGCAUUCUAGUAGAAAAUGGGGUUAAUCUUGGAGCAUUGAGACAAGGGCUCACAAAAUUCUCUCAAAAUGUCAAUGCAUCUGAGAAGAACAAGCAAAGAUGGCUGAAAUUUUCACAAAAUCCAAAUUCGUCUAAGAGGAAAGAGCGAGAAUGAAGGAAUAAAUAUUUAAGACAUUAAAGUUAAAACUCCUUUUGAUUGCUACAUUAUAAUCAAAAUUUGCUCUUAUCAAUCAUACCAAAGAAAUGCUUUUUUCAGUGUUUGUUAUUCUCUUUGGAGCAGUUAAAGAGAAUUGAAAAUACAUACAGUAUUUCGUCCCUGCUUAUUCAUCUGAUAUCAUUGUGUCAAACAGCAGUUGCAAUGCACAGCUUAUUGCUAUCAUCAUUUGAUACAAGCUGCAAAUGUCUAUGCAGCAAAUGUAGUUAAUAUGUGUUUCCCCCUUAUCCCUCUCUAGUCUCUUUCCUGUGCUGUGUCUUACAGUAGCUAUAAAGUGCAAUAUUGGUUUUUUCCAUAAAAUAUACGUACUUUUAAAAACCAGAUGACAGAUGCUGUAUGUUCAUGUAAAUACUAAAGGAAGGAAUCUUCAAUAUACACUUUCAUUUAUGCUUUAAUGCUUUAAUCAAUUUGCAGUUAUUUAUUCA